rnacentral:rRNA from 1 species
UGGGGAAUAUUGGACAAUGGGCGCAAGCCUGAUCCAGCAACGCCGCGUGAGUGGUAAGGCCUUCGGGUUGUAAAACUCUUUUAGUAGGGAAGAUAGUGACGGUACCUACAGAAAAAGCACCGGCUAACUUCGUGCCAGCAGCCGCGGUAAUACGAAGGGUGCUAGCGUUACUCGGAAUUAUUGGGCGUAAAGCGUGCGCAGGCGGUAUUGUAAGUUAAAAGUGAAAGCCUCAGGCUCAACCUGAGAAUGGCUUUUAAUACUGCAGUACUAGAGUAUCAGAAAAGAUGGCGGAAUUCCUAGUGUAGAGGUGAAAUUCGUAGAUAUUAGGAGGAACACCAGUGGCGAAAGCGGCUAUCUAGCUGAAUACUGACGCUGAUGCACGAAAGCGUGGGGAGCAAAC